ACGGAGGGGGCUAGCGUUGUUCGGAAUUACUGGGCGUAAAGCGCACGUAGGCGGCUUUGUAAGUUAGGGGUGAAAGCCCAGGGCUCAACCCUGGAACUGCCUUUAAUACUGCUGGUCUGGAGUCCGAGAGAGGUGAGUGGAAUUCCGAGUGUAGAGGUGAAAUUCGUAGAUAUUCGGAGGAACACCAGUGGCGAAGGCGGCUCACUGGCUCGGUACUGACGCUGAGGUGCUAAAGCGUGGGGAGCAAACAGGA
rnacentral:rRNA from 1 species